GGUGCCAUGUCCGAGUGGUUAGGUACCGGUCUGCAAAACCGUUCACAGCGGUUCGAAUCCGCUUGGCACCUCCA
rnacentral:tRNA from 1 species